rnacentral:lncRNA from 1 species
CUCCAACGCGUACCAACCCCUAAACCCUACACGUCUUCCUUCCUAUUGCUUUUCUCUCUCUAGCUUCUUCUCUCUCUCCAACUUUAGUAAUCCUCUUAACUACUAUGCCUAUGCGCCAUGGCAUUCAAUGACUUUGGGUUGGGGACCACCUCCUGAAGGGACUUAUAAGCUUAAACCUGGGCUCUGCUUGGUAAUGAUGGAUGGAAAAGGCUUGUUAUCAUUGUUCAAUACCAGAAUGGUGCAGUUAUAUUCACAGGUAUGUACAAAAUUCCUACUCAGCUUUCAACCAAAAUUGCUAAGGUACAAGUACUAUAUGGUCUACAAGUACCACAACAAUUGCCAUUCGAUAUCUAGUGCUCAAGGAUGAUUUACAAUCUAUUUUAAAUUUCUAAUGUUCAUCCCUCUAUCCAAUUCUGAAUUUGGAAUGUUGGUGGAAGAUGUUUUUUCUUUGAUGCAUACUUUUGUUUCAUUUUGGUCUUUUUGGUUCCUAGAAUUUGCAAUGAUAUUGUUUAUAACCUGCGCUCUACUUGGU